AAGUUGAAUAGACCCAGAUAUCAUUACAAGGGCACGUAGCCGCCGCUAUCAGUAGCUUAAGAAUAUGACGGCUCACAGAAACCUAUCCUGCGCACGCAUUAUCUUUACACCAAAAGAACUGAGGUCCGAUCCGAAAACGAGAAUAGAGGAUUCAUUUGUCUCGACGCGAUUAUGACUAAGCUCCUAGCAUACGCCCAUAACAAUGAGACGGGCGGGAGCGAUCUCGGGAAAGUCGAAGGGACCGCUUCCAAUCCCGGCUGAGAGCACGUCAGGUUUUCCCAACCCAAGCCGUAGUAGGGAUCAUCACGGGACUCUAACAGGGAAAUGUUAUCUUUUUGAAGUUCGACUGGACAGUUAAGGGGCGAAAUAUUGGAACGUGAAGUCAAUACUAUAGAACUUACUUCAAUCCAUCUUGC